AUUGAACGCUGGCGGCAGGCCUAACACAUGCAAGUCGAACGCGAAAGCCCUUCGGGGUAAGUAGAGUGGCGGACGGGUGAGUAAUGCUUGGGAAUCUGCCCGGUAGUGGGGGACAACAGUUGGAAACGACUGCUAAUACCGCAUACGACCUACGGGUGAAAGCAGGGGAUCUUCGGACCUUGCGCUAUCGGAUGAGCCCAAGUCGGAUUAGCUAGUUGGUGAGGUAAGAGCUCACCAAGGCGACGGUCCGUAGCUGGUUUGAGAGGAUGAUCAGCCACACUGGGACUGAGACACGGCCCAG
rnacentral:rRNA from 1 species